GUCCCUGCUCUCAGACGCCUGGUGAGCGGGGCAGAGGAGAGGAGGAGGAGGCCAGGGACCCACAUUAUGUGAGGGGCAGAGGGUAAGUGCGUGGGGAAGUGGUGCAGGAUUGGCAGACCGGCAGCAGGGAUGCCCAGUCUGGGGCACUGUGGUACACAGAGAGAGAGAACAACGAAGGAGAGCAGCUGGCAUGAGGAUAGAUGGAUGGAUGGGCAAGUGGAAAUCGUCUGACUGGAGGAGGAGGAGGAGGAGCUGAUCGAUUGACAGAGUGGGGCAGUCGUAAAGUGGAUGCACAAGGUGGCUUGAGGUUAGUGAAUGCCGGGAGGAAGGAAGGCCGGUCCCCUCACCGCCCCUUACGAGGUCCCUGGCCUCAGCUGUAUCCCAAGUGUGCCAAGUAUGGAUGCCUUUGGGGGAGCUCCCCGAUUUCUCACCUACCCACGUACUUUUACUGUGCCAAGUGGCACCAAUGCGGUCCUGAAAUGGCAGGUAGCGGGUGAGCCACGUCCCAGCGUCGCCUGGGAGAAGGACGGCUCUGUGCUGGACCUGCCAUCAGGGCGGAUGUUGGUAGAGGCUGACGGGGAUGCGUACAGCCUGCUGGUGUAUCAGGCUGGCCCGGCGGACAGUGGGCGCUAUGUGUGCAAAGCUAAGAACAGUGUGGGCGAAACCUAUGCGGCUGCUACUCUCAAAGUGGAGGCAGCAGAGCUGAGACCCAAAGGAGAGAUCAACACUCAACCUCCGGUCUUCCUGAAUAGGCCGGUCUCUGCACGCGUGACCAGGGGAGAGGAUGUGACCUUUGCCUGCAGGGUCUCGGGGGAGCUUGAGUGGGAAAAGGAUGGGUGGAAACUGUCAGACAUCUUUGAGAGCAGCCAUUACAAAGUGGGCAGAGCGUCUGGUGACUGGCACUCUCUGCACAUCUAUAACACCCGUCUCCCAGAUGCCGGUGUUUAUGUAUGCCGGGCACAGAACAGUUUUGGAGAGACCAUGGCUGCAGCUGUCCUCCUGGUGGAUUCUGUAGCAUGUGAUCCCCACAGUGAUGCAUUUACACCCCAAAACAACCAUUUCAAGAAGCAGCCGGAGGCACAAGAUGAAAAGUGGAGGUGGCAUCAUCCUGGGCAAAAGGUGUUGUCAGAAUCCAGGCAAAAUGGAGAAGUGCUUCCUAGCCCACCCACGCCAAAGGCCUUUACCGUCAAUGAAGGGAAGCACGCCAAGUUCCGCUGCUAUGUAACCGGGAAGCCCAAGCCGGAGAUCGUCUGGCAGAAGGAUGGGGUGGUCCUGUCCCCCGGAAGGAGACACCUGCUCUACGAGGACAGGGAGGGCUACUUUAUCCUCAAGGUGCUAUACUGCACAGCUCGGGAUUGUGGCCUCUAUGUAUGCACAGCCUGCAACACUGCUGGCCAGACACUCAGCGCUGUGAACCUCCAUGUCAAAGAACCCCGACUGCGGUUCCAGGCACCAUUGGUGGAUGUGGAAGUGCUGGAGCGCCAGGAUGCAGUCUUAGAGUGCCAAGUCCCUCUGGAGACCAUCCCUACAGCAUGGUAUCUUGAAGACAAGCGCCUGCAGCCCAGCCCCAAGUACCUGAUGGAGGAACAGGGCCUGUUGCGGCGGCUGACAGUGCGGGAUGCCCGGGCCGACGACGAUGGCAUUUACCUGUGUGAGAUGGAGGGCAAGGGCCGCAGCGUUGGGGAACUCUCCGUGCAAGGUCUGAUUGUGAAGCGGUUGCCGCGGAAGCUGGAUGUGAUAGAAGGGGAGAAUGCCGCCUUCUAUGUGGAGACGCGGGAACCUGUGGAGGCACCGAGUUGGGGCCGUAAUGGUCAGGAACUGGUGGAGGCACCACAUACCCUCAUCAGAAGCUUUGGCAAAACCCAUCUUCUGGUCCUGGUGCACGUAACACGACACGAUGCUGGGGUCAUCACUUUCACAGCGGGCGAGUCGCAGACCUCAGCACAGCUCCGUGUCAAAUGUGCCAAGAGGAUCCCACCAAGUGCACCCGUGGCAGCAAGGAUGUGCAUAUCACGCAACAAUGCUGCCCUCCUAACUUGGUGCCCACCACCUGAUGUUCACCGCAGCCCACCAAGUAGUUACAUUCUUGAGAGGCAGGCAGUAGGAGAAGCUGAGUGGGUGCCUUGCCUCACCACUGAUGUUGCCAGCAUGGUUGAAGUUCCAGGCGAUGGUGUGCCGCAGGAGGCUGACUACCGUUUCCGUGUGUGUUCUGCCAAUCAGUAUGGAUGUAGUGGCCAUGUGGAAUUCCCAGGCACUGUGCACCUUGUGCCCAGGGCUCGUAUACAAAAAGGACUGCAAGAUGUGAAGGUUCAUGCCGGAGAGGAUGCUACUUUUUCAGUUCAGCUUUCAGCCUCUCAGAGCGGUUGCUGGUUCUUCAAUGGGAAAAGGCUGGAAGAGGAGGAGGGGGAAGAAGGCCAGCAGUACCAAAUCACACACAGCGGGUUGGACCAUGGUUUGCGGUUCAAAGGAGUGCAGCUAGCAGCCAAUGGGUCUGAGGUGCAAUUUGAAGCUAAUGGUGUGAAUGAAUGUGCUGCAUUAUGUGUACAAGCCCCACAGGUACAUAUCACCCCAGUGCCUGAGGCCAGGCGACUCAGAACACUCACAGCUGGCAUGCCUCUACUCCUGGAGUGUGAAGUCUCUAUACCUGACACCCCCAUCAACUGGUUUAAAGAAGGGAAUCCUGUGGCCUUGGAUGAUAGUCGCUUCAGUGUCCAAACUGAAGGCCGUAUCCACAGGUUGUUGAUUUCCUCUGUCAGCUCUUUGGACUCUGGGACAUAUACAUGCGAUGCAGGCGAUGAUGCUAUCAGCUUCACUGUGACCGUAGAUGAACCUCCUGUGAGAGUUGUUCACUCCAAUGCUGAGGAGGCCCAUAUCUACCAGGUUACAGAGCGUGUGGUGCUAACCUGUGAGGUGUCCCACCCCGAUGCUCCCGUGCGCUGGUACAAGGAUGGGGAGGCAGUGAAAGAAAAUGAGAGCUUCUUGCUGGAGAGUGAGGGCCCCCACCACCACCUGGUCAUUCCUGCAGCACAGGUGAAGGAUGCAGGGGAAUUUGUGUGUGACAUAGGUGGAAAUUCUGUGCUCUUCAACGUCACUGUUACAGACCCUCCUGUAAGGAUCCUGCACUCCAGCGCUGAGGAGACCCAUGCCUACCGAAUCUCUGAACGUGUGGUGCUGGCCUGCCAGCUGUCCCGCCCUGAUGCUCCCGUGCGCUGGUACAAGGAUGGGGAAGAGGUGGAAGAAAGUGAGCGCCUCCUGCUGGAGAGUGAGGGCUCACACCGCCGCCUUGUCAUUGCCUCUGCACAAAUCCAUGAUACAGGGGAGUUUGUAUGUGAUGCAGGCGGUGACUCUGCCUUCUUCAACAUCACCAUCACAGAGCCACCUGUGCACGUUGUGCGUUCCAACGCGGAAGAAGAUCAUACCUAUCAGAUCUUGGAAUGUGUGACAUUGUCCUGUGAGUUGUCCCGCCCUGAUGCUCCUGUGCGCUGGUACAAAGAUGGGGAAGAGGUGGAAGAGAGUGAGGGACUUCGGCUAGAGAGUGAAGGAUCCCACCACCGGCUGGUCAUCGCCUCCGCUUGUGUGCAGGACACAGGAGAGUUUGUGUGUGAUGCAGGUGGCGACUCUGUUUUCUUCAGUAUUACUGUUACAGAACCUCCUGUGAGGGCUCUUCGCUCCAAUGCUGAGGAGGCCCAUACCUACAAGGUUGCAGAGCAUGUGGUGCUGGCCUGUGAGCUGUCCCGCCCUGAUGCUCCCGUGUGCUGGUACAAGGAUGGGGAAGAGGUGGAAGAAAGUGAUUGCCUCCUGCUGGAGAGCGAUGGACCCCACCGACGGCUGGUCAUUCCUUCAGUGCAGAUGAAGGACGCAGGGGAGUUUGUGUGCGAUGCAGGCAGUGAUUCUGUUUUCUUCAACAUCACGGUUACUGAGCCACCUGUGCAGAUUCUGCACUCCAACGCAGACGCGUCCCAUUCUUACCAGGCCUCCGAACGUGUGGUGCUGUCCUGUGUGCUGUCCUGCUCCAGUGCUCCUGUCCGCUGGUACAAGGAUGGGGAGGAAGUGGAAGAGGGAGAGCGCUUGCUGCUGGAGAACGAAGGGCCCGUCCGACGCCUUGUCCUUGCCUCAGCCCAGGUGCAAGAUUCAGGCGAGUUUGUGUGCGACACUGGGACUGACUCUGCCUUCUUUGUGGUUACAGUUGCAGCUCCCAAGGUGCGCAUCGCUCCAGUGUCAGAGGCUCAGUGUCUCCAGACAAUCCUGACUGGGAUGCCUCUCCUCCUGGAGUGUGAAGUCUCUGCCUCUGAUGCUACUGUCCGGUGGUUCAAGGAUGGAAAUCCUGUGGACCAUGACAUCUUCAAGGUGCAAUCAGAGGGCUGCAUUCGGAGGCUGUUGCUUCAUUCGGCCUGCCCCUUGGAUUCUGGGACGUAUACAUGUGACACAGCUGAUGACACUGUGGACUUCACUGUGAUGGUGGAUGAGCUGCCUGUCCGAGUUCUGCACUCCAAUGCAGAUGCAGCCCAUGCCUAUCAGGUCUCAGAGCGUGUAGUGCUGGAUUGUGAGUUGUCCUGCUCUGAUGCCAUUGUGUGCUGGUACAAGGACGGAGAGGAGGUGGAAGAAAAGGAUGGCCUCCUGUUGGAGAGUGAAGGGCCUCAUCGCCGUCUGGUUAUUAUUGCGGCCCAGGUUCAGGACACAGGGGAGUUUGCAUGUGGCACUGGGGGCGACAUGGUCUUCUUCAAUGUCACUGUCACAGAGCCACCCGUGCAGAUUUUGCACCCAGUGGAGCGUUCACUAGAGAAGCAUAUACAGGCAUUUGAGUGCUUGGAGCUGAGCUGCGAGGUGUCCAUUCCCAAUGCCCCUGUGCGCUGGUUCAAGGACGGCCUGGAAGUGGAUGAGACAAACAACUUGUUGCUUCAAAUGGAAGGUGCUGAGCGUCGCCUAGUUGUCCUGCAGGCAAGUGCUGAAGAUGCUGGUGAAUACAUCUGUGAGACCAAGGAUGAGUCUGUCUCCUUUGAUGUCAGAGUUUCAGAGCCCCCUGUGAAGAUCGUGCAGCCCCGCAGGACUCCCUCUGUCCUGAAGGCCUCAACGGGGGAGACAGUGACCCUGACCUGUGUUCUCUCUCAUGGGAAUGCGCCAGUCCGCUGGGUUAAGGACGGUGUCACGCUUGAGGCUAACAGCGGCCUCAUCCUGGAGGAAGAGGGUGCCCGGCGGUGUCUGGUCAUCCCUGCAGCUGGCCCAGAGCAUUCUGGGAAGUACACCUGCAACGCUGUUGAUGAUACCAUGGCCUUCGCCGUCCAGGUGUCUGACCCCCCAGUGCGGAUUGUAGGGCGUGAUGAGCUGCAGACUCAGCACCGCUGCCUGACCUCGGAGGACCUGACCCUGUCUGUGACGCUGUCUUGCCCUAAAGGAGAGGUGAAGUGGUACAAGGAUGGAGAGAAGCUGCAGGACACAGACCGUGUGUGUCUGGAGCAGGAUGGCGCGUGCCAUUCGCUGGUGAUUCUGGGAGCCGAGCGCUGUGAUGCAGGGGAGUAUCUGUGUGACAGUGGCGAUGACAGCCUCAUCUUCUACGUCACAGUAGAGGAACCUCCCAUCUCCAUUGUGGGAAACACAGGGGUUCCAGAGCACCACUCGCUGGUGUCCGGAGAGGCUCUGGUAUUGGCUUGCAAGGUGUCUUCGCCUAGUGCUGCUGUGCGCUGGCUGUGUAAUGGGGAGGAGCUGGUACCCAGCAAGCGUGUGCGCAUUGAAGCCCAUGGGAAACAACGCCAACUCACCAUCCUUGGAGCCAAGCCGGGAGACUCAGGCUCCUAUGUGUGCGAUGCAGGCACUGACCGAAUGGAGUCCACAGUUAAAGUGGCAGCACCCCCUGUGCACAUUGUGAACAAGAACGAUGCCCAUGUGCCUUUGGAAGUCCAGGAAGGAGAGAACAUGACCCUCGUUGCCCGUCUCUCCCAAGAGAAAGCUUCUGUCCGGUGGCUGAAAAACAUGCGGCCCCUUUAUCCUGGGCCACGCCUGGUGGUGAGCAGCGAGGGGGCCGUGCGCAGCCUCACCAUCAGGCAAGCUGAGCCAGGUGACAGCGGCACCUAUACCUGUGACACUGGCGACGAUGAAGUGCAUUUCACAGCAUCUGUGCAAGAGGCCCCUGUGCUGUUUGUGCCCAAGCCAGAGCAUCCUGAGAAGGUGUUGGUGCUUGAGGGUGGCAGUGCAGUGCUCUCUGCCAUCGUCUCCAAGGAGCAAGCUAUGGUGAGGUGGGAAGGACCUCGAGGGGCCUUGGUGGCGAGCGACCAGUGCCAGCUGCGCAGGGAGGGCCGGGUCCACAGCCUUCUGUUGAGCAACGUGGGGAAAGCAGAUGCUGGCGAGUACAUAUGCCACUCCCAUCAUGACCAGCUGCACUUUGAGCUGAGUGUCAAAGAGCUGCCAGUGAAGUUUGUUCGGGGUCUCUCAGAUGUGCUGGCACUGCAGGGGGAGACGGUGUUGUUCUGGUGUGAGCUGUGCAAAACCAAAGGCGAUGUCCUCUGGCUGAAGGAUGGGCAGGAGCUGGAAGCCAAUGAACACCAGGAGAUCCGAGCAGAGGGGCGGGAACGUUCCUUGACCCUGAGACACGUAGGGCCUGAGGAUGCUGGCGAAUACUCGUGUGAAAGCAAGGAUGACCGCACCCUAGCCAUCCUCACAGUGCAGAUCCCUAGAUCAGUGGAAAUCAUUUCCGAGCUCCACAACUUAACUGUGCUUGAGGGGGAUGAUGCCACCUUCAAGGUUGUGGUGUCUCCAGAUGAUGUGGCUCUCAAGUGGCAGCACCAUGGCCAAGAUAUAGUGCCCAGUGAGCGGUUCGCCACCACCAGGGUUGGGCUGUGCCACACCCUCACCAUACAGCAGUGCCGGCUGAGUGAUACUGGCAUAGUCACUGUCCACGCAGAAGGUCUGGUGAGUUCAGCCAGGCUCAGUGUGCAAGAGGCUCAGGUGAUAUUUGUGCAGACACUGCGUGACUUGAUGGCUGAGGAAGGGCAAGACGUCUGCUUGGAAGUGGAGCUGAGCUUGGAGAGUGCGGAAGUGCAAUGGAUGAAGCAAGGCAUCCUUCUGCAGCAGAACACCAAAUACUCCAUGGAGGCAUGUGGGUCUCAGCGGACCCUUACCAUCCACAACAUUGAGCUUGCAGAUCGAGGCACCUACCGCUGUGAGAGUCUGCAUGACCGCACCCAAGCCAGGCUGAGUGUGGAACCCCGGAGGGUGAUGGUGAGGAAACCUCUGUUGGAUGUGGAGACUUUUGAAAAGGAGACCGUGACAUUUGAGCUGGAGCUCUCCCACGCCAACGUGGCCGGGGUCUGGACACGCGAUGGCAUCCGUGUGAAGCCAAGCUCCACCUGCCGAGUGAGCGCCACGGGCUUUGUGCACAGCCUGACACUGCUGGGGCUCACACUGGACGACUCAGGGACCGUGGCCUUCACCGCUGACAACGUGCGAAGUAGUGCCCGCCUUACUGUCCAAGAGCCGCCAGUUACUAUGCUGCGCUUUCCCCAGGAUAUGGGCAUCCCUGAGACAGGCUCAGCCACCUUUGAGUGUGAGCUGUCCCGGCCCCUGGCUGAGGUGAAAUGGUACAAGGAUGGGGAGGAGAUCCAGACAGGGCAAAACUGCCGCAUGUAUUCAGUGGGACGCCGGCGCCUCCUACAGCUCAGCCACUGCGGCCUUGAAGACGCGGGCGAGUACACAUGCGAUGCUGGUGACUGCCGUGCCUCUGCCAAGCUGAGGGUCUUUGAACGCCAGGUUCAGAUUCUGCGGGAGCUGGAGGAUGUGCGUGUGCGAGAGAACGAGAAUGCUGUCUUCAUGUGUGAGGUGUCACUCGAGGAGGUGAAAGGCGAAUGGUUCCGGGAUGGGGAGAGAAUCAAAGUCAGCAGCAUUGUGAAAAUACGGCAGGAAGGAACCCGGCACUUUCUGCUCCUGUGCUGUGUCCGUCCUGAGGAUUCGGGCCAGGUCCGCUUUGUGGCGAAGGCAGCUGCUUCUGAAGCCCGCCUGGAAGUGGAGGCGCUGCCCAUCCGCAUUGUGAAGCCGCUGAGGGACAAGACUGUGCUCGCACGGCACAAAGCCACGCUGGAAUGCACAGUGUCUCAGUCUCGUGGCCGAGUGCGCUGGUUCCGUGAGGACACAGAGAUCUUUGCUGGCCACAAAUACGAAAUCUGCAACUUGGACUGCUACCGAACCCUCGUUAUCCACAGCGUUGAGCCUGCAGAUGAGGGCCUGUAUACCUGCGAUGCACUGGAUGACCGCUCCACGGCCCGUCUGCUGGUGGAAGCUGAUGGGAUCCAGGUGGUGCGAGCAUUGCAGAAUGUAGAUGUGGUGGCUCCCGCAGAGGCUCGGUUUGAGUGCGAAAUCUCUGCUCCCCCGGCAUGCAGCCCGCAGUGGAGUCUCAAUGGAGAAGACUUGCAGCCUGGCUCACAAGUGCGCAUGGAGAGCAUGGGGCAUAUCCACAGGCUGAGGCUCUGCCAGACAAGCCCUGGCAUGAGUGGGAUGGUGAAAGUUACUAUUGGCAAGGCCCGUUCUAAAGCCCACCUCACAGUCCGAGGUACGUGUGCCUGGCAGCAGAAUGGGUUGGUGGCAGGGAAGAAAUUGCAAGAAGGUAUGUGUGUUUGUGUGUUCCAGGACAUAAAAGUGCAAGCCGUUUUCCAUCCUAAAAUGGCGGAAUGGCGAACCCUUGUGCUGUAGAAAGAACCAUGGGAGAAAAAGACCAGCCCUUCUGCAUGAUCUUGGGUGCUGCUGUAGAUAGACCUAGCUGGGUCACAACACGACAGUGAGAUGACACAUUGGUGCUAGAGCGCUAGCAUCAGGGAGACCCUAUGAGCAAAAGAGCCACGUGUGAGCAUGGAAACCCCUGAGGCUACCAGGGGAAGGUGGAGACAGCAUGUUUGACACUUGCAUGGACAGCCUGAAGAAUGGACACACAGAGAGAGAAUUCCUCUUCCUGUCUCCCUCUUCUGCUUGACAAGGGAAGCAAGAUCUGCUUUUAUUAAAUGCUCUUGAUUCCUGA